rnacentral:rRNA from 1 species
GACGAACGCUGGCGGCGUGCUUAACACAUGCAAGUCGAACGGAAAGGCCCUGCUUUUGUGGGGUGCUCGAGUGGCGAACGGGUGAGUAACACGUGAGUAACCUGCCCUUGACUUUGGGAUAACUUCAGGAAACUGGGGCUAAUACCGGAUAGGAGCUCCUGCUGCAUGGUGGGGGUUGGAAAGGUUCGGCGGUUGGGGAUGGACUCGCGGCUUAUCAGCUUGUUGGUGGGGUAGUGGUUUACCAAGGCUUUGACGGGUAGCCGGCCUGAGAGGGUGACCGGCCACAUUGGGACUGAGAUACGGCGCAGACUCCUACGGGAGGCAGCAGUGGGGAAUAUUGCACAAUGGGCGGAAGCCUGAUGCAGCAACGCCGCGUGCGGGAUGACGGCCUUCGGGUUGUAAACCGCUUUCGCCUGUGACGAAGCGUGAGUGACGGUAAUGGGUAAAGAAGCACCGGCUAACUGCGUGCCAGCCGCCGCCGUAA